CCCUUUUAAAAUAUUUCCCAAUUCCUGGAUUACUCAUAUUAGUACCCCCAUUUUAUUACAAUUGAAAAGAAGAAAAUUGGAAAGCAGUCUCCAGCCAUAUAUAUAGCCUCCAAAAUUAUUAAAGGAUAAUUUUUCAGUCUACCAAAGGGAAAAUUGAAAAAAGAAAAUGUCGCUGAAAACAAAAAUGUAAUAUAUAACCGUCCUACCAAAUAAAGAUAUCAUGAGAAUCUUUUUAAUCCUUCCCUUAUCUUUGCCUGCACCUGCCCAUCUAACAUCUGCUGCAUAUAUACACGGGAUUUCAGUUGGCUCUUGUAUAAGGUAUGUACAAAAUCCUAUUUCUGUCACGCACUGCUGCAAAUCUGCUGUCAUCUUCUCUGAUGGAUAACAAGUCAUCAAAUCCUGUGGCAUGCACAUUUUCUUGCCAUAAAAUCUUCCAACCAAGAUCAUAAUUUUGAACUGCAAAACAAAAUGUUCUUAUUGAUUCCAAGACCUCAGGUACGGUUUCCCCAAUGUGUCAUUUACGCCUGAACUCUGAGGCAAAGUCAUCCAUCCCAUAUCUUCAGGCAUCAGGGAACUAGCUGCAUCUCGCCCACUCAAGUAAUCUAGAGAAUGGGCUGUUUGUGGUAAAGAAUUACUGAUCCUAGGAGCAACACCACUUGCCAUCUCAUAGUUCCUUGGCAACAUGAACGGCUCAGUAGGCCCCAUUGAAUCAAAAUGGUUACUUGAACGCAAUUGAUUACACUGAGAUAGAACACUAAAUAAGCUCUGAUCUGCAUGAUUUCCAAUGCUCUGGCCAGGGACACUUAAACCAUCAGCAUUAUUCCAGCCGCCACGAACUUGUUGCUCCCCAGAAUACCAGUUCGGAGUUAACAAUACAUCAUUAUUAUUCAAGUGAGAUUGAAGCCGUGCUGCCAUGCGAACAGGAUUAACAUGCCAGUCCUGUAGAUUGACUGGCAGUACAUGUCCUUGUCUUGGAAUUAAGUACGUACUGCCUUCAGAGUAAAUGUCCUCUGACAUAGACUGUUGCAUGUAACUCUCACCCCGUCUCUUUAGCCCCUGGUCCAACGGCAGUGAGGGCUGAAGCUGCCUUUGGAUAUGCCCACUAAAAUGACCAUCUUCAAUCAACACGUUAUUUGGUGAUUGGAAAUCUAACCCCAUUUGUUUUUGUUCACGAUGGUAGGGUAACAGAGAAUGAAGCAACCCACUUCGGUCAUGGUUUGGGUAAGAACUGAAGGAGCCAUCAUCAGAUUGUCUGUGCAUCAAAUUUUUACCAGUGUCAUCCUCACGCAAAUCAGAUUCCAAAUCAAUCAACUGGGGCCGUUGGGUUUCAUUAACUGGAUGUGGGAGUGACAACUCAAUAUUGGAUGUGUAUUCAUGAUUCGCAGUUGAAUCAUAAAAAGAGUGUGGCAUGCUAACUGAUGGCCAAGCAUCUCCACUGGAAGAGAUAGGAAGCCCCUGGCCAAUGGAAGCAUCUGCAUUGUUUGCCUUACCCGAGUACUCAGAUACAUUUGGAGAAGCAUCAUCUGAUUUGGACGCAGCAUGAUUACUUUCUGAAUCCAUAUCUACAGGGUUGUGAUCAUGGCCACCACUGAGGGAAGAAAUCUGCUGUGGAGACUGAUACUGUGGAGAGUCAGAACCAGAAAGUUCAUUAUCUUCCACAUAAGACUGUUGGUUUCUUAUUCCAUUCUGAUCCUCAAGCAGAACUCUAUCAUGGCUUUCUUUCUCCUCAUCCUCUACAAUGGCUUCAUGUUCUCUUGCUCCUUGAUCAUUCUGAUAGUCAAGAACAGCCUCAUCAUUUAAUUCCUCCUCAUCCUCCGUAUCGGAUUCAUGUUGUCUUGCUUCUUGAUCACUCUGAUCCUGAAAAACAGUAUUGUGGUUCAAUUCGUCCUCAUCCUGAAUGGAUUUAAAAAACCAAUGAGUUAUAUAUGCAUAGAAGAAGGAAGACUUUUACAUUCACACAAUUAAUGCCGCCAUCCAACACAAUUACAUCAGAUGCAGAAAAAGGACACAUGAACAAGGAACAAAAAAAACAUUAUGGGGACAGAGAGUAUCAAACCUCCAAUCUGUAUUCAUGGUUCACAUGGUUCACGCUCUCCAGUUCCUGAAAGGAUUCACAAACCAACAAUUAAACAUGUAAACAAGGAAGACUUUUACUGCUGCGCAAUUCCUUCUGCCAUCCAACACAUGUUAUAUCAGAUGCAGACAUAAGCACUCAUGCAGAAUGAGAAAAGGUAAAUGAGGGGCAGAGUAUCAAAACCUCCAUUGAAGAUUCCAGUUUUCCUUUAAUGUCUUGCUCCAAAGAUUUGGCGAAUUCAUGUCUCUGUGACUGUCUUUGUCUCCAGUUUUCAUAUGCUGUAGGAAGAUCUUUAUUUGCUAUUUUUAACCAAUGCUCCUGCAACUUCUUCUGUUCCUCCUUCACAAAUUGUUCAUAUGGUUGCACAUGCAGUGUAUCAAGGUUACCUAACACGCGAUUAAGAGACUUAGACUGAAUGCUUUUACCCGAUUGCUUCAUACUCUUUACAAGUUGAUGCUGCUUCUUGCUUAUCUUUAAAUAUGACAUAUAUUUGACGCCAUCUGUGUGGUGGAUAUUACGCUUGUGUAGCCGUACUCCUUUUCUGAAUUUAGCAUCAUCUGAAGCAACCAAUCGCUUUCUACUUUUAUCCUUCUUAAGGCUUUUUUCAUGAGUCCUUCUUUCAAGUUCUCCACCCUUCAUUAUUGAAGAGUUUUGAUUGUCACUGCUACAUGCUUUCUCCUCUGCGAGCAAAGAGCAAGAUUCAGAUGUAGGCACAGCAUCAUCCUCAAGGUCAUGAAAUCUUGACUCAUUUGCAUUUGAUGAAGUUCUUCCGUCUGCAUCCCUUCUUGACCUCUUUAUCUUCUGCAG
rnacentral:misc_RNA from 1 species